UGUGACAUCUGUCACCCCAAUGAUUGCCAGCAUUGAUUCAGCUGAGCUGGCUAACUAGGUGGAUGUUU
rnacentral:sRNA from 1 species